ACUCAAAUGAAUUGACGGGGGCCCGCACAAGCGGUGGAGCAUGUGGUUUAAUUCGUCACUAACCGAAGAACCUUACCCAGGCUUGACAUCGCGUGUAAGACCAUGAAAGUGGUUCCCUCUCGCAAGAGAGCACAAAGACAGGUGUUGCAUGGCUGUCGUCAGCUCGUGUCGUGAGAUGUUGGGUUAAGUCCCGCAACGAGCGCAACCCUCACCGUAUGUUGCCAGCGUAAAGUCGGGAACUCUUACGGAACUGCCCGUGCAAGCGGGAGGAAGGUGGGGAUGACGUCAAGUCGGCAUGGCCCUUACGCCUGGGGCUACACACAUGCUACAAUGGGCGGCGACAGAGCGCUCCGAAGCCGCGAGGUGGAGGCAAUCGCACAAAUCCGCCCUCAGUUCGGAUUGCAGGCUGCAACUCGCCUGCAUGAAGCUGGAAUCGCUAGUAACCGCAGGUCAGCGAAACUGCGGUGAAUACGUUCCCGGGCCUUGUACACACCGCCCGU
rnacentral:rRNA from 1 species